AUCAGGGCCAGCUUCUGCUGCUGUGGCUGCUGGGAGCAGAGGAUUUGUGAGAUGUUGCCAGAGGCAGCCUGGGCACUCCAUGGAAAUUUGACACCUUGCUGUCCGACAGGGGGAGUGUGAGUGGAUGUCAUCCAAACGGCGUCUAUCUCCAUUCUCGUUUGCCUCUGGAAUGGGCUGCCCCAGACUGACACAGACACUGGAGAGAGUGAGGGAGAGCAGCAGCAGCCGGAUGGAUGUCAUUGUGGGAGAGGAGUUCCUGCAGCUUUCAUGGGAAAGUAAAGGACAGGGGAGAGCAAUGGAACAAAACCAACAACAAUUACAGCGUACCCAGUAACUCAGGAAGAAGCCUGGUAGUUGCUGACAGAAACCAGCCGCCAGAUCUGCAUGGAUGCUCCUGCCCCUUUUCUUCAUCUGCCACUAGCAUUUAACUGCUCUCCAGGGUGCUAUCCUGAAACCAGGAUCAGAA